GGAAAAGGCCCGCUUGCGGGUACUCGAGUGGCGAACGGGUGAGUAACACGUGGGUGAUCUGCCCUGGACUCUGGGAUAAGCCUGGGAAACUGGGUCUAAUACCGGAUAUGACCUUACAUCGCAUGGUGUUUGGUGGAAAGCUUUUGCGGUUCAGGAUGGGCCCGCGGCCUAUCAGCUUGUUGGUGGGGUAAUGGCCUACCAAGGCGACGACGGGUAGCCGACCUGAGAGGGUGAUCGGCCACACUGGGACUGAGACACGGCCCAGACUCCUACGGGAGGCAGCAGUGGGGAAUAUUGCACAAUGGGCGCAAGCCUGAUGCAGCGACGCCGCGUGAGGGAUGACGGCCUUCGGGUUGUAAACCUCUUUCACCAGGGACGAAGCGCAAGUGACGGUACCUGGAGAAGAAGCACCGGCCAACUACGUGCCAGCAGCAGCGGUAAUACGUAGGGUGCGAGCGUUGUCCGGAAUUACUGGGCGUAAAGAGCUCGUAGGCGGUUUGUCGCGUCGUCUGUGAAAUUCUGCAACUCAAUUGUAGGCGUGCAGGCGAUACGGGCAGACUUGAGUACUACAGGGGAGACUGGAAUUCCUGGUGUAGCGGUGAAAUGCGCAGAUAUCAGGAGGAACACCGGUGGCGAAAGCGGCUCUCUGGGUAGUAACUGACGCUGAGGAACGAAAGCGUGGGUAGCGAACAGGAUUAUAUACCCUGGUAUUCCACCCCGUACACGCUGUGUCCUAGUGGUGGGGCUCAUUUCACGAGUUCUCUGCCGCAGCUACCGCAGUAAUUACACCCCCCGCGGUAGUACG
rnacentral:rRNA from 1 species